AAACCAUCUGAAAAGUGACAUUUUUCGGCAUAUUUGGUAGAUUUUUCAUAUUUGAGCUUGAAUCGGGUCGUUUUUAAUGACUAAAUCAGUUAAAAUCUUUCACAUUAACUAAUUGAUUCAAAUGAAAUAGACACUUAAGUGUUUAAAAAGUGGUCAAAAUCUUUCGUAAGAUGAACCUGAAAUUUGAGGCCAAAAUCGGUCCUUACCGG
rnacentral:lncRNA from 1 species